CCUACGGGUGGCUGCAGUGGGGAAUAUUGGACAAUGGGGGAAACCCUGAUCCAGCAAUGCCGCGUGGGUGAUGAAGGCCUUCGGGUUGUAAAGCCCUUUCGGCGGGGACGAUGAUGACGGUACCCGCAGAAGAAGCCCCGGCUAACUUCGUGCCAGCAGCCGCGGUAAUACGAAGGGGGCUAGCGUUGUUCGGAAUUACUGGGCGUAAAGGGCGCGUAGGCGGCUCUGUGCGUCGUGCGUGAAAGGCCUGGGCUCAACCCGGGAAUGGCGCUCGA
rnacentral:rRNA from 1 species